CGGCGCACGGGUGAGUAACGCGUACGCAACUUACCCUUGAGAGUGGCAUAGCCCUGGGAAACCGGGAUUAAUACCGCAUAGUUUAUGGAUUCGGCAUCGAAUCGAUAAUAAAGCUACGGCGCUCAAGGAUAGGCGUGCGUUCCAUUAGCUAGUUGGUGAGGUAACGGCUCACCAAGGCGACGAUGGGUAGGGGGCGUGAGAGCGUGGCCCCCCACACGGGUACUGAGACACGGACCCG
rnacentral:rRNA from 1 species